AUGCUCAAGGUCAAGCUCGCAAACAGCAGUCUGCACACCAAUUGUCGUAUCAUGCUGGGAACAGACAAGAGAGCAACAAUAACCAGAAACUGGUCAGAGUUCCGCCGCUGUGCAAGCAUCCAUGAAGGAGAUAUCUGCGCCUUCCGUUUCAACCUUACCGCAGAGCACCGCCUGACUCUCAUCAUCCAUGUGCUCUAA
rnacentral:rRNA from 1 species